rnacentral:tRNA from 1 species
GCACCGCUAGUUCAGUGGUAGAAUGCGAGCUUCCCAAGCUUGAGAUGCGAGUUCGAUUCUCGCGCGGUGCA